rnacentral:lncRNA from 1 species
CCAGAUAGUAAGUAAAACAUUUUCAUAUGUAUUUCCUUGGACAAAAGCAGAGGAACAGUUGGUAAUGAAGUGGGUAACACAGAGCAUAAUUAAACAAUACCUUCAAGAUAAAGUUAAAGAAUACCUUCCUUGGCAAUACAUGUAUCUACUUGCCAAGUUUUCUUUUUAUUCAGUGUUUGCAACGUCUUGGUCUCUAGUCCUCGGUUCUUUGUUAAAAAUAACGCAAACUCUCAUUGUUCUGACCUGAGAAAUGAUACCCAAAAGCAAGGGGAUUCUAUGUCUUUUUUUUUUUUUCCUUAUUCUUG